rnacentral:rRNA from 1 species
UACGUAGGGUGCAAGCGUUGUCCGGAAUUAUUGGGCGUAAAGAGCUCGUAGGCGGUCUGUCGCGUCUGCCGUGAAAGCCCAUGGCUUAACUGUGGGUCUGCGGUGGAUACGGGCAGGCUAGAGUUCGGUAGGGGAGACUGGAAUUCCUGGUGUAGCGGUGAAAUGCGCAGAUAUCAGGAGGAACAUCGGUGGCGAAGGCGGGUCUCUGGGCAAUUCCUGACGCUGAGGCGCGAAAGCGUGGGGAGCAAACAGG